rnacentral:rRNA from 1 species
GCUUACGGCCAUACCAGCCUGGGUACGCCCGAUCUCGUCUGAUCUCGGAAGCUAAGCAGGGUCGGGCCUGGUUAGUACUUGAUGGGAGACCGCCUGGGAAUACCAGGUGCUGUAAGCA